rnacentral:tRNA from 1 species
GGAGGUAUGGCUCAGCGGUGGAGCGCGUGCUUAGCACGCACGAGGUCGUGGGUUGGAUCCCCAGCACCUCCG